rnacentral:rRNA from 1 species
CAUUAACAAAUCUAUGAGCGAAAGCUCAUCAACCUUUGUGAAUUGGGUUGUGUAGUUGGCAACAAUUAUGCAACUUCGUUGGGGUCCCUUUGUGAUAGAGAGAUUAUUUCGAAAGAUUUAAUUUUUCUAUUGCUUAUUAACAUUGUCUGAUUAUAGAUUGAAGUCGUAAGAUUUCAAACAAAAAUACAACUUUUAACAAUGGAUCUCUAGGCUCUUGCAACGAUGAAGAACGCAGUGAAUUGCGAUAAGUAAUGUGACUUGCAUUCAUUUGUGAAUCAUCGAAUCUUUGAACGCACCUUGCACUUAAAUAGUCAAUAUUUAAGUAUACCUGUUUGAGUAUCAUAAACAUUUAUCCAAUUUAUUGGGAUUUGAGAGAUUAGUGUUACGGCGUUAUCUCUUUAAAUGUAGUUAGGAAGUCAAGGUAAAGAGCGCUUUAUUCUUGGAUGAGGAUAUUUACUCUAGUAGUAAACAAAUCAUUGGAGAGUGGAGAGGCGAUAUUUUGAAUCCUUCUGUCUCUUGCAGACAACUAGUACAAAUGUGAUCUCAAAUCAGGCAAGACUACCC